rnacentral:rRNA from 1 species
AACCAGCUCUUCAGGUGCUCGGGAUAAUUAUUGGGCUUAAAGUGUCCGUAGCCGGAUUAGUAAGUUCCUGGUAAAAUCGGGUAGCUUAACUAUCCGUAUGCUAGGAAUACUACUAUACUAGAGGGCGGGAGAGGUCUGAGGGACUACAGGGGUAGGGGUGAAAUCUUAUAAUCCUUGUAGGACCACCAGUGGCGAAGGCGUCUGACUGGAACGCGCCUGACGGUGAGGGACGAAAGCCAGGGGAGCGAACCGGAUUAGAUACCCGGGUAGUCCUGGCUGUAAACGAUGCAUACUAGGUGAUGGUAUGGCCAUGAGCCGUGUCAGUGCCGUAGGGAAACCGUUAAGUGUGCCGCCUGGGAAGUACGGUCGCAAGGCUAAAACUUAAAGGAAUUGGCGGGGGAGCACCACAAGGGGUGAAGCCUGCGGUUUAAUUGGACUCAGCGCCGGGAAGCUUACCAGGGGAGACAGCAGAAUGACAGUCAGGUUGACGACCUUGCUUAACAAGCUGAGAGGAGGUGCAUGGCCGUCGCCAGUUCGUGCUGUGAGGUAUCCUGUUAACUCAGGCACCGACCGAGAUCCGCGCCUUUAUUUGCCAGCAAGAAGUCACGACUUCGUUGGGAACACUAAAGGGACCGCUGUCGAUAAGACGGAGGAAGGAGCGGGCGAAGGCAGGUCAGUAUGCCCCGAAACCCCUGGGCUACACGCGGGCUGCAAUGGUAUGAACAAUGGGCUGUAGCUCCGAAAGGAGAAACCAAUCCCGAAAUCAUAUCCCAGUUGGGAUUGUCGGCUGUAACUCGCUGACAUGAACGCGGAAUCCCUAGUAAUCGUGUGUCAUCAUCGCACGGUGAAUACGUUUCUGCUCCU